rnacentral:rRNA from 1 species
CACAAGCGGAGGAGCAUGUGGUUAAUUCGAUGAUACGCGAGGAACUUACCUGGGCUCGAACGUAAGAUGACUGUAGGUGAAAGCUUACAUCUCUUCGGAGCAUUUUACGAGGUGCUGCAUGGUUGUCGUCAGCUCGUGCCGUGAGGUGUCGGGUUAAGUCCCAUAACGAGCGCAACCCCUACCUUUAGUUGCCAUCAGGUUAAGCUGGGGACUCUAAAGGAACUGCCUACGCAAGUAGUGAGGAAGGCGGGGAUGACGUCAAAUCAGCACGGCCCUUACGUCCAGGGCUACACACGUGCUACAAUGGCCGAUACAGAGGGCAGCUACCUGGUGACAGGAUGCAAAUCUCCAAAGUCGGUCUCAGUUCGGAUCGGAGUCUGCAACCCGACUCCGUGAAGUUGGAUUCGCUAGUAAUCGCGCAUCAGCCAUGGCGCGGUGAAUACGUUCCCGGGCCUU